rnacentral:rRNA from 1 species
CCCUUAGAUGUUCUGGGCCACACGCGCGCUACACUGACGAUGGCAACGAGUUUUUCCUUCGCCGAAAGGUGUGGGUAAUCUUUUGAAACAUCGUCGUGCUGGGGAUAGAUCAUUGCAAUUUUUGAUCUUGAACGAGGAAUUCCUAGUAAGCGCGAGUCAUCAGCUCGCGUUGAUUACGUCCCUGCCCUUUGUACACACCGCCCGUCGCUACUACCGGUUGAAUGGUUUAGUGAGGACUCCUGAUUGGCGCCGCCGCCCCGGCAACGGAGCAGCGGACUGCCGAAAAGUUGUUCAAACUUGAUCAUUUAGAGGAAGUAAAAGUCGUAACA